rnacentral:rRNA from 1 species
CUCGCAAGAGCAAAGCAGGGGACCUUCGGGCCUUGCGCUACCGGAUAUGCCCAGGUGGGAUUAGCUAGUUGGUGAGGUAAGGGCUCACCAAGGCGACGAUCCCUAGCUGGUCUGAGAGGAUGAUCAGCCACACUGGAACUGAGACACGGUCCAGGCUCCUACGGGAGGCAGCAGUGGGGAAUAUUGCACAAUGGGCGCAAGCCUGAUGCAGCCAUGCCGCGUGUAUGAAGAAGGCCUUCGG